AUUUAUGUGGUGUAUAAGCACAAGAAUUUUUCAAUUUCUAGGAAUAGUACAAUAGCUAUCACAAAUU
rnacentral:tRNA from 1 species